rnacentral:rRNA from 1 species
CCUACGGGAGGCUGCAGUGGGGAAUAUUGGACAAUGGGCGAAAGCCUGAUCCAGCCAUGCCGCGUGUGUGAAGAAGGCCUUCGGGUUGUAAAGCACUUUCAGUGGGGAAGAAAGCCUUGGGGCUAAUACCCUCGAGGAAGGACAUCACCCACAGAAGAAGCACCGGCUAACUCCGUGCCAGCAGCCGCGGUAAUACGGAGGGUGCGAGCGUUAAUCGGAAUUACUGGGCGUAAAGCGCGCGUAGGCGGUCUGAUAAGCCGGUUGUGAAAGCCCCGGGCUCAACCUGGGAACGGCAUCCGGAACUGUCAGGCUAGAGUGCAGGAGAGGAAGGUAGAAUUCCCGGUGUAGCGGUGAAAUGCGUAGAGAUCGGGAGGAAUACCAGUGGCGAAGGCGGCCUUCUGGACUGACACUGACGCUGAGGUGCGAAAGCGUGGGUAGCAAACAGGAUUAGAUACCCCUGUAUC